rnacentral:lncRNA from 1 species
CAUGUUUAGAAUUAUUUUUUAGGGUCGGAAUUGUUUUUUAGUUUAUGAUCACUUAAUUAUGAUCUUGGGAACUCCAUGCUACUUUUCCUUUUAUGGUUUAUGCACCACCGUAGUGGUAGGAUUCGCUAUUGGUGAAUUUUCCCCGAGAUCUCGACUAACGAUGAUGAUUUAAAAUUAACCCCCGAGACCUCGACUAACGAUGAUGAUUUAAGAUUAACCCG